rnacentral:piRNA from 1 species
UAUCUAAGUGGCCUAUGAGAAAGCAUGUCC